GGGUAAUCUUGUGAAACUUCAUCGUGAUGGGGAUAGAGCAUUGCAAUUAUUGCUCUUCAACGAGGAAUCCCUAGUAAGCGUGAGUCAUCAGCUCACGUUGAUUACGUCCCUGCCCUUUGUACACACCGCCCGUCGCUACUACCGAUUGAAUGGCUUAGUGAGACCUUUGGAUUGGUGUUUAGGGAUCGGAAACGAUCCUUAUUCUCCGAGAAGUCGGUCAAACUUGGUCAUUUAGAGGAAGUAAAAGUCGUAACAAGGUUUCCGUAGGUGAACCUGCGGAAGGAUCAUUAAAAAAUCAAUAUCCGAGAAUUCGUUUUUCGUUUUCUCGGAUUUAUUUGUAUUCAAAUCCCACUCUUUAUAAAUAUAUCAAUUAUAUAAAACAAAAUAAAAAAAGAAAACUUUCAACAACGGAUCUCUUGGCUCUCGCAUCGAUGAAGAACGCAGCGAAAUGCGAUACGUAGUGUGAAUUGCAGAAUUCCGUGAAUCAUCGAAUCUUUGAACGCAAAUUGUACUUUUCAGUAAUCUGGGAAGUAUGCUUGGUUGAGGGUCAUCGAAAUUACAUUCGUGAUUUUUUCGCGGAUUUGAGUUUUCCAGUAUUUAUUAAUAUAAAUGUUGGUAACUUUAAAAUUAUUUAUUACUUGGUGCAAGUUGAAAACGUACUAUGUUGUGGUUCGCUGACAACUUGUUCAUCUUUUAUAUAUAAUAUGCGCGCACUUGGUUUUAUAUUCUGUGCAAGCAUAUAUUUUUUUUUAUGACCUCAGCUCAAGCAAGAGUACCCGCUGAACUUAAGCAUAUCAAUAAGCGGAGGAAAAGAAACUAACAAGGAUUCCCCUAGUAACGGCGAGUGAAGAGGGAAAAGCUCAAAUUUUAAAUCUACCUGGUUCUUCCCAGGUCGAGUUGUAAUUUGAAGAAGCGAUAUCGGUGUUGAGGUCUGGUUUAAGUUCUUUGGAACAAGACAUCAUGGAGGGUGAGAAUCCCGUGCAUGAUCAGACCAAGAUACUAAGUAUACGCUUUCCAAGAGUCGAGUUGUUUGGGAAUGCAGCUCAAAAUGGGUGGUAGACUUCACCUAAGGCUAAAUAUCAGCGAGAGACCGAUAGCGAACAAGUACUGUGAAGGAAAGAUGAAAAGAACUUUGAAAAGAGAGUUAAAUAGUACGUGAAAUUGUUGAAAGGGAAACGAUUGAAGUCAGUCAUGCCAGUGAAAACUCAGUUUGUUGGUAAUCUAGUUCAGGAAUGGAGGCAGGGUCAAACCGUCUCUCUUUUGGACGCGAUUAUUGGCAGAUGGAAUUUUUUUCUGGUAGGUCAGCGUCGGUUUCGGGGGUUGUAAAAUACUUGGGGGUAAAGUAGCUCUGCUUCGGGAGAGUGUUAUAGACCUUGGGGGAUGCAGCCCGCGGGAUCGAGGAUUGCAGCAAAUGCCUUCAGGCUUGUCGCCUGAUCUCUGGAUGUUACCUUGCUUGUGACAACAUUCUUGUCACCGGUGAGUACUAAUGCUCACUAGGUUAGAGCGAUCAAAAAUUUUGCUAAGGAUGCUGACGUAAUGGCUUUAAACGACCCGUCUUGAAACACGGACCAAGGAGUCUAACAUAUGUGCGAGUGUUUGGGUGACAAACCCGGAACGCGUAAUGAAAGUGAAUACGGGUGGGAUCCUCCUCGCGGGGAGCACCAUCAACCGAUCAGGAUAUUUUUUGAUAGAUUUGAGUGUGAGC
rnacentral:rRNA from 1 species